GAUGAACGCUGGCGGCGUGCCUAAUACAUGCAAGUCGAGCGAACAGAUAAGGAGCUUGCUCCUUUGACGUUAGCGGCGGACGGGUGAGUAACACGUGGGUAACCUACCUAUAAGACUGGAAUAACUCCGGGAAACCGGGGCUAAUGCCGGAUAACAUUUAGAACCGCAUGGUUCUAAAGUGAAAGAUGGUUUUGCUAUCACUUAUAGAUGGACCCGCGCCGUAUUAGCUAGUUGGUAAGGUAACGGCUUACCAAGGCAACGAUACGUAGCCGACCUGAGAGGGUGAUCGGCCACACUGGAACUGAGACACGGUCCAGACUCCUACGGGAGGCAGCAGUAGGGAAUCUUCCGCAAUGGGCGAAAGCCUGACGGAGCAACGCCGCGUGAGUGAUGAAGGUCUUCGGAUCGUAAAACUCUGUUAUUAGGGAAGAACAAAUGUGUAAGUAACUGUGCACGUCUUGACGGUACCUAAUCAGAAAGCCACGGCUAACUACGUGC
rnacentral:rRNA from 2 species